rnacentral:rRNA from 1 species
UAUAUUAAAGUUGUUGCAGUUAAAAAGCUCGUAGUUGGAUUUGUGGUCUGAGCGACCUACCCGUCACUCAGUGUCGGUGUUUGGUCGUCUCGGACCAUCCUUGGGUGGAAUCUGUGUGGCAUUAGGUUGUCGUGCAGGGGAUACCCAUCGUUUACUGUGAAAAAAUUAGAGUGUUCAAAGCAGGCUUACGCCGUUGAAUAUAUUAGCAUGGAAUAAUAAGAUAGGACCUGGGUACUAUUUUGUUGGUUUGCGCACCCUGGUAAUGAUUAAUAGGGACAGUUGGGGGUAUUCGUAUUCCAUUGUCAGAGGUGAAAUUCUUGGAUUUCUGGAAGACGAACUACUGCGAAAGCAUUUACCAAGGA